CUACGGGUUGCUCCAGUGAGGAAUAUUGCACAAUGGGGGGAACCCUGAUGCAGCAACGCCGCAUGGAGGAUGACGCAUUUCGGUGUGUAAACUCCUUUUAUAUGCCAAGAAAAUGACGGUAGCAUAUGAAUAAGCACCGGCUAACUCCGUGCCAGCAGCCGCGGUAAUACGGAGGGUGCAAGCGUUACUCGGAAUCACUGGGCGUAAAGGACGCGUAGGCGGGUUGGAAAGUCAGGUGUGAAAUCCUACAGCUUAACUGUAGAACUGCACUUGAAACUUCUAAUCUAGAGUAUGGGAGGGGGAGAUGGAAUUAGUGGUGUAGGGGUAAAAUCCGUAGAUAUCACUAGGAAUACCUAAAGCGAAGGCGAUCUCCUGGAACAUUACUGACGCUAAGGCGUGAAAGCGUGGGGAGCAAACAGGAUUAGAUACCCUUGUAGUC
rnacentral:rRNA from 1 species